GCAAUGAUGAUCGUUCUGUGCGUAAAUCCAAGAAAACGAUGUGAUUUUAUUUGGAUCUAAUUUUUUAUUUGUAAUUUGGAAUUAGAAAAAUAAAAAAGAGUUUUUCACUUGAAAUUAGCCUUUCAAUCAAGCUUUGACCGCAACGGAAAAGGAACGCAUUUACGGUACCCAAAGCUUAUGAAAAUCCACCCAGUUUCUUCUCACUAAAUUUCACAAAGUUGAACCGAAUCAGUGAUACAAAAAUAUAAAACUCUCAAUCAGUGAAUAAAUUUAAAAUUGAAGCGAAUUUUAAAUCAAUUAAAUUGAAAUUGGUGAUUGCUUUUAUGUUCGAACUGAAUUAGAAAUUCAAAUACGGUCCAAUCGAUCAGCGACAACAGUCAACUACUUUUGGAAGAGAGGCUACCGUCAUCGUGUGUGCUAUAUAUCGUCAUAUCAGGACGUUACUACUAUACACAAAGAUUUUCGUAUCAUAACCGACAUAGACAUUCUAUCAAAGACAUAAUCAACAUUAUUAUUUUUAUUCAAAAUAAUUUUCUUUUAUCCAUUAUCGUUGGUCAUUGGUUUUCUUCGUUGAAAAAUCAACAUUUCUAGACAGCAGUUCAUAGACAUUUCAAAAAUGGAACCACUCGUUGUCAUCACUCAAGUCUGUCUUACUUGUGGACUUUAUAUCACUAAUGUUACAUCGUUGGAAUCCUAUACUCCAUCCAGCACUCUUUGCAACAGAUGCAAUAAACCAAUGACGAUUCAAACAUCAUCUGAAUAAUGGGCGACUAAUUCACUGCAAGAAACAUCAACGGAAUAACACAAAAACUAUAGCCAGCCGAAACAUAUUUGUUUUAAACCCUAAUUUUGUUUGGUGAAUUAAAAUGAA